GACGAACGCUGGCGGCGCGCUUAACACAUGCAAGUCGAACGGAAAGGCCUGCUUUCCCUUGUGGAUUGCGGGUACUCGAGUGGCGAACGGGUGAGUAACACGUGAGUGAUCUGCCCCCAACUUGGGUAUAAGCCUGGGAAACUGGGUCUAAUUCCCGAUAGGACUGCAGGGUGGUGCCUGUGGUGGAAAACGAUUUUCUAGUGGUUGGGGAUGAGCUCGCGGCCUAUCGGCUUGUUGGUGGGGUAAUGGCCUACCAAGGCGGCGACGGGUAGCCGGCCUGGGAGGGUGGACGGGCAAAUUGGGACUGAGAUACGGCCCAGACUCCUACGGGAGGCAGCAGUGGGGGAUAUUGCACCAUGGGCGGAAGCCUGAUGCAGCGACGCCGCGUGGGGGAUGACGGCCUUCGGGUUGUAAACUCCUUUCGACCGCGAGGAAGCCACCUGGUUGGAAGGGUGGUGACGGUAGUGGUAGAAGAAGCACCGGCUAACUACGUG
rnacentral:rRNA from 1 species